rnacentral:rRNA from 1 species
AUGUCCGACCACCACCUCGCCGGCGACCACCACUCCUCCGCGGCGAGCACCGCCACCACGGCCCUCGGGACCCUGCUGCUCCUGCCGUCGGAGCUCCUCCACGAGAUCCUCAUCCGCCUCGCGCUCCCGGAGCUGCUCCGCGUCCGCUCCGUCGCCCGUCCCCUGUCCCACCUCAUCUCCUCCCCGGACUUCCGCCGCUUCUACCACCUGUCCUCCGUCUCGUCCGGCCCCGCCCCGGCCGCCGCGUGGCUCCUCGUGUUCAAGAAGCUCCCGCCCCGCGGCGCCGCGCUACGGGGCUUCCACGGGCCGUCCGGCCGCUGGUUCCGCAUCCCCGUCUCGGACAUCAUCUCCCCCGCCGUGCCCCCGGGAGAGGACCUCUACUUCCUCGCCGCCUCCGGCAGCUCCUUCCUGUUCGCCGCCAACGGCCGCCGCGAGCUCGUGGUGGUUGACCUCUCGGCCCAGUCGGCCCGCCGGCUCCCGCCGUCCCCGCUCGGCCCCCGCGGCACCUCGUCCUGGCGUCGCUUCGGCCUCAAGCUCGUGGCCGAUCCCCCCGGAUCAAGCCAGUUUAGGUUUCUCUUCGCCGAGAUGGUGAACAACACGCCCGUUCUCUUCGAGUACCAGUCUGACACCGACGCGUGGCAGUCAUCGGAGGCGGUGCUGGCAAAUGGUCCCGCCGCACCGGCAGGUCCCGACGGGGACGGCACGUACCUGUGCGCUGCCCACGCCGGGCCGGACUGCGUGAUGGUGUACUCAGGCCCGGGCGUCGACAGACCGGUCUUCUUUCGGCCGGGGUUCCCGCACAACCCGAACGCCGGCGGCCACGGUGAUCGGCUCCACGUGUACGGCGACGGCAGCGCCGUGGUGGUCCGAUCAACGGUGAUCGAUGAGCCGAGCCGGACUCGGGUGAAGUUGGUGGCGGGUGUGGACCUGUAUGGGCUCGGGCCGGAGGUCGGGGGUGACUGGCAGCUGGUGUCCACGGUGCCGGGCGAGCUCAUCGAAGGGUUCAGGAAGCCGUACGCCGUGAUGACGGGGCUGCUGGCGGAGAGGGAGGGCGUCUUGAGGCUGGUGCUCAUCUCCAACUGCAGGGGCGCGUGGGACCUCGUGUGGCUGUCGUACGACCGCGCGCGCGGCGAGUGGAGGUGGGUGCCCGUGCCGGACUGGGGCGGCGCCAAGGGCCUCAACAUGGCCGGCAUCGCCGUGUCGUCCACCUUCUCGCGUCUCUGGCCGCCGGCGCCAACCAUCUGCCGCUGA